rnacentral:rRNA from 1 species
CGAAUGCUGACAUAAGUAACGAUAAAGCGGGUGAAAAGCCCGCUCGCCGGAAGACCAAGGGUUCCUGUCCAACGUUAAUCGGGGCAGGGUGAGUCGACCCCUAAGGCGAGGCCGAAAGGCGUAGUCGAUGGGAAACAGGUUAAUAUUCCUGUACUUGGUGUUACUGCGAAGGGGGGACGGAGAAGGCUAUGUUGGCCGGGCGACGGUUGUCCCGGUUUAAGCGUGUAGGCUGGUUUUCCAGGCAAAUCCGGAAAAUCAAGGCUGAGGCGUGAUGACGAGGCACUACGGUGCUGAAGCAACAAAUGCCCUGCUUCCAGGAAAAGCCUCUAAGCAUCAGGUAACAUCAAAUCGUACCCCAAACCGACACAGGUGGUCAGGUAGAGAAUACCAAGGCGCUUGAGAGAACUCGGGUGAAGGAACUAGGCAAAAUGGUGCCGUAACUUCGGGAGAAGGCACGCUGAUAUGUAGGUGAAGUGAUUUACUCAUGGAGCUGAAAUCAGUCGAAGAUACCAGCUGGCUGCAACUGUUUAUUAAAAACACAGCACUGUGCAAACACGAAAGUGGACGUAUACGGUGUGACGCCUGCCCGGUGCCGGAAGGUUAAUUGAUGGGGUCAGCGCAAGCGAAGCUCUUGAUCGA